AUGCGGUCAACGUAUGCGCGUGCGCUCGCCAUAGCCCCGCCCCCAAAUCCCGUGGGCCUCUGCGGCAUGGUAUUUAAUCGUGUCCCCGGGGGAGAUUCGUUCUCAUUUUUCUACUGCUCUCGGAUUUACGCGCACGUUGGAACCGAAGAGAGCUCUGUUGUUGCAAUGUUCAGCCCACAAGACCUUACUGGUGAAGGAAUGGGACAAGACCCAUCUUUAUGCAAAGCCAGCGUUACAGUAAUGUCCCAGCAUCUCAUAAUCUAUCCUGGGGAAUUCAGCUGCCUCCCAGGGUGAAUACAGGUAUUCCUGAUGACAGUCUGCCUUCUAUCUUACAGAGCAGCUUGUUGCUAUAUACCAUUGAAAAGCCUUCAGAGCUGAGAGGUACUACUAACCAAUAACCUGCUUGGCUCAAAGGGCCAGCACCUUCUCUCUAAAGCCCAAGAGGAGUUUGAGGAAAACUAGGUGUCUGUGUUCACUCCAGGCUGAAGUUACAGGUCUGAGCAAAUAAGGUGUAUAAAAAAUGGAAUCUGUCUUGGAGGACAUCGGAAGGUGAAUUUUCCAAGUCCUUGGACAACCUAGCUGUUGAAAAGCUUUCUGGGUUUGGGGAGUAUUUCAGAUGUACCUUAAAGUGUUAGCAGACACAGAUUAAGACACUGGGAGCCAAUGAAACAGCAGUUGAGGGUUUGCUGUGUAUCACAUUUCUGUAUUUUAUCACCCCCUUCCUGCAACAUUAUUUCUCUGGAAUCUACCUGCCCUUUUGUUUUUUAGAUACAAGGGCUUGGUUUUGUUACCCAGGCUGGUUUCAAGGCCAUAGCUUUAAGAGAUCCUCUCACCACAGAUUUCCAAAGUGCUGGGAUUGCAGGUGUGAUUCAUGGCACCCAGACUUUGCUGCCUUUCUUACAUAAUCCAGGCCCAGAACCCAAACUCAGGCACUGCAUAGAUGACCAGUUUUGUAAACUACUGACCUAGCUUGUUGCCAAUUGUUGAUUGAACUUCCCAUAACUCCACUUCGUGUCUGUUCCUCUGUAUACAGCCACCUUCUGUUCCCAUCAUGAGCCUUUAGGUCUCCAUUUGCAUAUUGCAAAUACUAUGUUCCAUGUAGGUAGCUCAUGCAGGGCCUUGCUCUUCACUUCAAAAAAGGUUCCCUUGAGGACUGGCUGUCAAUUUGUGUUGCUGUGUUGGUUGUUGAUGAAAAUAAUAAAAUGAUUGAUUACAUA